UGCGUGAACUCACAAUUAAACCCUUAGAAUCCACCAACCAAAUUUUCUUCCUGCUUUCUUCCAGAGGAGUUUUAGUUCGUUUUGACAGCUCAAGAGCUAUAAGUUCAGCAAUACCAGUGCCAGCCUCCCCAGCGCCAAGAAACAAGAAAGAGUGAUCUCCCAGGGAUCCACCAACCAACUUAAGUGCCGCAACGAUCCCCGAAAGGACCACAGCAGCAGUACCCUGAAUAUCAUCAUUGAAA
rnacentral:misc_RNA from 1 species